rnacentral:rRNA from 1 species
GCUGCGAGGCAUUGAGCUAACUGAUACUAAUUGCCCGUGAGGCUUAACCAUACAACACCCAAGGGGUUU